rnacentral:rRNA from 1 species
AUUGAACGCUGGCGGCAUGCCUUACACAUGCAAGUCGAACGGUAACGGGCCUUCGGGUGCCGACGAGUGGCGAACGGGUGAGUAAUGUAUCGGAACGUACCUUUCAGUGGGGGAUAACGUAGCGAAAGUUACGCUAAUACCGCAUAUUCUGUGCGCAGGAAAGCAGGGGAUCGCAAGACCUUGCGCUGAUUGAGCGGCCGAUAUCAGAUUAGCUAGUUGGUGAGGUAAAGGCUCACCAAGGCGACGAUCUGUAGCGGGUCUGAGAGGAUGAUCCGCCACACUGGAUCUGAGACACGGUCCAGACUCCUACGGGAGGCAGCAGUGGGGAAUUUUGGAGAAUGGGGGCAACCCUGAUCCAGCCAUGCCGCGUGAGUGAAGAAGGCCUUCGGGUUGUAAAGCUCUUUCGGCCGUGAAGAAAUCGUAUCAGCUAAUACCUGGUGCGGAUGACGGUACCGGCAUAAGAAGCACCGGCUAACUACGUGCCAGCCGCCGCCGUAAUAC